rnacentral:misc_RNA from 1 species
UCUCCGUUGGUGAACCAGCGGAGGGAUCAUUACCGAGUUUACAACUCCCAAACCCAAUGUGAACGUUACCAAACUGUUGCCUCGGCGGGGUCACGCCCCGGGUGCGUCGCAGCCCCGGAACCAGGCGCCCGCCGGAGGAACCAACCAAACUCUUUCUGUAGUCCCCUCGCGGACGUUAUUUCUUACAGCUCUGAGCAAAAAUCCAAAAUGAAUCAAAACUUUCAACAACGGAUCUCUUGGUUCUG